GGGUUGUGAGGUUAAGCGACUAAGCGUACACGGUGGAUGCCCUGGCAGUCAGAGGCGAUGAAGGACGUGCUAAUCUGCGAAAAGCGUCGGUAAGGUGAUAUGAACCGUUAUAACCGGCGAUGUCCGAAUGGGGAAACCCAGUGCAAUUCGUUGCACUAUCGUUAACUGAAUACAUAGGUUAACGAGGCGAACCGGGGGAACUGAAACAUCUAAGUACCCCGAGGAAAAGAAAUCAACCGAGAUUCCCCAGUAGCGGCGAGCGAACGGGGAGCAGCCCAGAGUCUGAAUCAGCUUGUGUGUUAGUGGAACGGUCUGGAAAGUCCGACGGUACAGGGUGAUAGUCCCGUACACCAAAAUGCACAGGCUGUGAACUCGAAGAGUAGGGCGGGACACGUGGUAUCCUGUCUGAAUAUGGGGGGACCAUCCUCCAAGGCUAAAUACUCCUGACUGACCGAUAGUGAACCAGUACCGUGAGGGAAAGGCGAAAAGAACCCCGGCGAGGGGAGUGAAAAAGAACCUGAAACCGUGUACGUACAAGCAGUGGGAGCACCUUCGGGUGUGACUGCGUACCUUUUGUAUAAUGGGUCAGCGACUUAUAUUCUGUAGCAAGGUUAACCGUAUAGGGGAGCCGCAGGGAAACCGAGUCUUAACUGGGCGUUAAGUUGCAGGGUAUAGACCCGAAACCCGGUGAUCUAGCCAUGGGCAGGUUGAAGGUUGGGUAACACUAACUGGAGGACCGAACCGACUAAUGUUGAAAAAUUAGCGGAUGACUUGUGGCUGGGGGUGAAAGGCCAAUCAAACCGGGAGAUAGCUGGUUCUCCCCGAAAGCUAUUUAGGUAGCGCCUCGUGAACUCAUCUUCGGGGGUAGAGCACUGUUUCGGCUAGGGGGUCAUCCCGACUUACCAACCCGAUGCAAACUACGAAUACCGAAGAAUGUUAUCACGGGAGACACACGGCGGGUGCUAACGUCCGUCGUGAAGAGGGAAACAACCCAGACCGCCAGCUAAGGUCCCAAAGUCAUGGUUAAGUGGGAAACGAUGUGGGAAGGCACAGACAGCCAGGAUGUUGGCUUAGAAGCAGCCAUCAUUUAAAGAAAGCGUAAUAGCUCACUGGUCGAGUCGGCCUGCGCGGAAGAUGUAACGGGGCUAAACCAUGCACCGAAGCUGCGGCAGCGACACUAUGUGUUGUUGGGUAGGGGAGCGUUCUGUAAGCCUGCGAAGGUGUGCUGUGAGGCAUGCUGGAGGUAUCAGAAGUGCGAAUGCUGACAUAAGUAACGAUAAAGCGGGUGAAAAGCCCGCUCGCCGGAAGACCAAGGGUUCCUGUCCAACGUUAAUCGGGGCAGGGUGAGUCGACCCCUAAGGCGAGGCCGAAAGGCGUAGUCGAUGGGAAACAGGUUAAUAUUCCUGUACUUGGUGUUACUGCGAAGGGGGGACGGAGAAGGCUAUGUUAGCCGGGCGACGGUUGUCCCGGUUUAAGCAUGUAGGCUGGUUGUCCAGGCAAAUCCGGAUAAUCAAGGCUGAGGUGUGAUGACGAGGCACUACGGUGCUGAAGUAACAAAUGCCCUGCUUCCAGGAAAAGCCUCUAAGCAUCAGGUAACAUCAAAUCGUACCCCAAACCGACACAGGUGGUCAGGUAGAGAAUACCAAGGCGCUUGAGAGAACUCGGGUGAAGGAACUAGGCAAAAUGGUGCCGUAACUUCGGGAGAAGGCACGCUGGUGUGUAGGUGAAGCCCCUGCGGGUGGAGCUGAGACCAGUCGAAGAUACCAGCUGGCUGCAACUGUUUAUUAAAAACACAGCACUGUGCAAACACGAAAGUGGACGUAUACGGUGUGACGCCUGCCCGGUGCCGGAAGGUUAAUUGAUGGGGUUAUCCGUAAGGAGAAGCUCUUGAUCGAAGCCCCGGUAAACGGCGGCCGUAACUAUAACGGUCCUAAGGUAGCGAAAUUCCUUGUCGGGUAAGUUCCGACCUGCACGAAUGGCGUAAUGAUGGCCAGGCUGUCUCCACCCGAGACUCAGUGAAAUUGAACUCGCUGUGAAGAUGCAGUGUACCCGCGGCAAGACGGAAAGACCCCGUGAACCUUUACUAUAGCUUGACACUGAACAUUGAGCCUUGAUGUGUAGGAUAGGUGGGAGGCUUUGAAGCGUGGACGCCAGUCUGCGUGGAGCCAACCUUGAAAUACCACCCUUUAAUGUUUGAUGUUCUAACGUUGGCCCCUUACCGGGGUUGCGGACAGUGUCUGGUGGGUAGUUUGACUGGGGCGGUCUCCUCCCAAAGCGUAACGGAGGAGCACGAAGGUUAGCUAAUCCUGGUCGGACAUCAGGAGGUUAGUGCAAUGGCAUAAGCUAGCUUGACUGCGAGCGUGACGGCGCGAGCAGGUGCGAAAGCAGGUCAUAGUGAUCCGGUGGUUCUGAAUGGAAGGGCCAUCGCUCAACGGAUAAAAGGUACUCCGGGGAUAACAGGCUGAUACCGCCCAAGAGUUCAUAUCGACGGCGGUGUUUGGCACCUCGAUGUCGGCUCAUCACAUCCUGGGGCUGAAGUAGGUCCCAAGGGUAUGGCUGUUCGCCAUUUAAAGUGGUACGCGAGCUGGGUUUAGAACGUCGUGAGACAGUUCGGUCCCUAUCUGCCGUGGGCGCUGGAGAAUUGAGGGGGGCUGCUCCUAGUACGAGAGGACCGGAGUGGACGCAUCACUGGUGUUCGGGUUGUCAUGCCAAUGGCACUGCCCGGUAGCUAAAUGCGGAAGAGAUAAGUGCUGAAAGCAUCUAAGCACGAAACUUGCCCCGAGAUGAGUUCUCCCUGAGACUUUAAGUCUCCUGAAGGAACGUUGAAGACGACGACGUUGAUAGGCCGGGUGUGUAAGCGCAGCGAUGCGUUGAGCUAACCGGUACUAAUGAACCGUGAGGCUUAACCUUACAACGCCGAAG
rnacentral:rRNA from 1 species